rnacentral:rRNA from 1 species
CAGUCGCCGCGGUAAUACGAGGGGUGCAAGAGUUAUUCGGAUUGAUUGGGUGUAAAGGGUGUGCAGACGGCUUAUUAAGUCACUUGUUAAAUUCUUCGGCCUAACUGAAGGUCUGCAAGUGAUACUGAUGAGCUAGAGGGCGGAAGAGAGAAGUGGAAUUCUCGGAGUAGCGGUAAAAUGCGUAGAUCUCGAGAGGAACACCAAUGGCGAAGGCAGCUUCUUGGUCCAUUCCUGACGUUCAUACACGAAAGCGUGGGGAGCAAACAGGAUUAGAUACCCCUGUAGUCCAUGUCUCUUAUAC